CCCAGCUGUGGGCAACUACAUGGGUUAUCUUCUACCUAGGCAAGUGUUACACUGCUGGCAGAAAAGCAGCCAGUUGCUGGCAGGCAUUCUGUGCCUGGUUAAUACAAAAUUUGUGUUAACUAUACCAGUAUGCCAGCAUA
rnacentral:snoRNA from 1 species